AAACUGAAGAGUUUGAUCAUGGCUCAGAUUGAACGCUGGCGGCAGGCUUAACACAUGCAAGUCGAGCGGUAACAGAUCUAGCUUGCUAGAUGCUGACGAGCGGCGGACGGGUGAGUAACGCGUAGGAACCUGCCCAGUAGUGGGGGAUAGCCCGGUGAAAACCGGAUUAAUACCGCAUACGCUCUACGGAGGAAAGGGGGCU
rnacentral:ncRNA from 1 species